rnacentral:piRNA from 1 species
UUGGUUUAAAUGUGGCUCUGGGCUGA